rnacentral:misc_RNA from 1 species
GCAAGGGUGUGCUACAUUGUGCCAUAAUUGCUCCACCUGACUUGUCUCGCCAGUCGCCGGCGACGAAGAAGUUGUGAAUCGGAAUAACCAAUAAUGAGGGCCGUGGUCCAGCGUGUUGCUUCAGCCAGCGUAGAGGUCGAGGGGCGUACGGUAUCAGCAAUCGGGCCGGGCUUGCUGGUUCUCGUCGGGCUUCAUGAAUCAGACGUUGAUUCCGAUGCUGACUACAUAUGCCGGAAAGUGUUGAAUAUGAGAUUGUUCCCAAAUGAGGAAACUGGAAAGACAUGGGAUCACAGUGUAGUUCAGAAGAAUUAUGAAGUUCUAUUAGUGAGUCAGUUUACACUAUAUGGGAUUUUGAAGGGAAACAAGCCUGAUUUUCAUGUCGCAAUGCCUCCUGAGAAAGCAAAACCCUUCUAUGCCUCUCUGGUUGAGAAAUUCCAUAAAGCUUACAAACAGGAUGCCGUCAAAGAUGGUGUCUUUGGAGCAAAGAUGAAGGUCAAUUUGGUCAAUGACGGUCCUGUGACAAUGAAUCUUGA